AUUGAACGCUGGCGGCAGGCCUAACACAUGCAAGUCGAACGAGUGGCGGACGGGUGAGUAAUGUCUGGGAAACUGCCUGAUGGAGGGGGGUAACUACUGGAAACGGUAGCUAAUACCGCAUACCAUCGGAUGUGCCCAGAUGGGAUUAGCUAGUAGGUGGGGUAAAUGCUCAACUAGGCGACGAUCCCUAGCUGGUCUGCGAGGAUGACCAGCCACACUGUAACUGAGACACUGUCCAGACUCCUACGGGAGGCAGCAGGGGGGAAUAUUGCACAAUGGGCGCAAGCCUGAUGCAGCCAUGCCGCGUGUAUGAAGAAGGCCUUCGGGUUGUAAAGUACUUUCAGCGGGGAGGCGUUACUCGCAGAAGAAGCACCGGCUAACUCCGUGCCAGCAGCCGCGGUAAUAC
rnacentral:rRNA from 1 species